ACAAAACCCCAGAAGCUGCCCCCAGCUGUCCCUGGGCAGAGUUUGGCCAUCCCAGCAGUGGGAGGCUCAGAAAAUCCCUGAACCCCUGGCCUGGGCAGGACUUUGAGGUUCAUCCUUUUCCAAGCCCUUUACAAGGGACAUCUUCCCCUGUCCCAGCUGGUUCCAAACCCCCUCCAACCUGGCCUUGGCCACUUCCAGGGGUUUUCCUUCCACAGCUUCCCUGGGCAGUCAGUGCCAGCUUGCCCUGCUUGUUGUUAAUUCCUGUUUAGUGCAUUUUUUGUAGUCCUUUCCUUCCCCUCACGUGGUUCUCUCUGUGCCAAGAGCAGCCAGGCAGCUGCACUAAAAUUUGAUGGGUUUUGAUGUCUCUUGGCAUUAAAUUAUAACAUAACAUUUAAAAUGUGUUCCAUUUUAUAGGACUCCAAAAAGGCUUCUGACUUCAGACAAGUAACAGUGACAUUCCUAAAAACUACAUCAAGUCAAACAAGAAGAGUUGUUAAUUAGAAGGGGUGUGAUGCAUGAGAAAAAGAAGCACAAGAAGCAAAAGAAUGUUCUAACAUCACAAAUGUGGACAAAUUGCUGUUCAGAAGAAAGAGGAAGUAGAAAAUAAAACAGCUGAAGGUGCAAUUAGCAGCUUGACUGCCUACUACAUUACCUUAUAUGAAAAACUGUGGAGAUGUGGAAAAUAGAUCCUUGCCAAAGUUCUGUUCUUUACAAAAUUUGCUACACUGGGAUUUAGAAACAAUACAUGAGCAGGUGAGUGGUGACGUUCCCUGCCAGGAUUUGAUGUCAGAGAGGCCAAGACAGACUUGGAGCAUGGAAUCAUUGACAUUGAAGGGACUUUUGGAGAUCCUCCAGUCCAACCCCUGCUCAAACCUGAGCAGACUGGUCAGGACCUGCCUUUUCCAGUGUUUCACCAUCCUCAUGGUAGGAAAAGUUUUUUUCUUAUUUCUGUGAGCAUUUUUUUGUAUUUUAAUUUGUGCCUGUUGCCUCUUCUUUCACUGGCUACCACCCAGAACAGUCUGAGCCUGUAAAGUUUUACUCCCUCCCAUCAGGUAUUUGUGCACACCAGUUAAUUAAGGUUUCACCUCUUCCCAAGGCUAAACCAUCUCAGCUCUUCAUCCUGAGCAUGUCAGAUGCUCCAGUCCCUCAAUCACCUUGGUGACAUUUCCCUGUAUUUCACCUUCUCUCUGAGUGAGAUAAAUCUGAGUCCUGGCUCAGUUUACCCAAAAUUCAGAAUGUUCUUUCACUGCAGGACUGAGGUAAUGUCUCAUGACUCUCAAAGUUGGGAAUGCCAGGUGCCACUCUGAGCCCAUCAAAGGAAGAUGAAAAUCUCCAUCCACUGCUGCAGGCACCAUAAUUCAAACCCUGCUGGGCACAGCUUGGUUUCACACUGCUUUCCUCACUGUGGUCUCAAAGAGCAGUGAUGCCACAUAUGACACCAGUAUCCAACCAUAAUGGACAAAGACUCUUUGACUGAUUGGGGUUACAGAGUGUGUGUUUAUUGGCAGUGCUGGGCUGAUGGGCAGGGCCACCCCUUAAUUCACACAGCCCUGACUGCAGGUGAAUACAGGC